AACGAACGCUGGCGGCAGGCUUAACACAUGCAAGUCGAGCGCCCCGCAAGGGGGGCGGCAGACGGGUGAGUAACGCGUGGGAAUCUACCCAUCUCUACGGAAUAACGCAUGGAAACGUGUGCUAAUACCGUAUAUGUCCUUCGGGAGAAAGAUUUAUCGGAGAUGGAUGAGCCCGCGUUGGAUUAGCUAGUUGGUGGGGUAAAGGCCUACCAAGGCGACGAUCCAUAGCUGGUCUGAGAGGAUGAUCAGCCACACUGGGACUGAGACACGGCCCAGAAUCCUACGGGAGGCAGCAGUGGGGAAUAUUGGACAAUGGGCGCAAGCCUGAUCCAGCCAUGCCGCGUGGGUGAUGAAGGCCCUAGGGUUGUAAAGCUCUUUCACCGGUGAAGAUAAUGACGGUAACCGGAGAAGAAGCCCCGGCUAACUUCGUGCCAGCCGCCGCCGUAACAC
rnacentral:rRNA from 1 species